rnacentral:lncRNA from 1 species
GUAAAAUUGACUAUCUUAUGUUUACUUGGUUACAUGGUAGUUUGUUUAUUGGGGGUUAACUCUUUGCCCAACUAAAUGAAAGUGAAAAUGAUAUUUUCAGCCCUGCAGCACUUUUUUAAAAAAAGAAAAUGCUUCUACAUACACACUUUCCUUUUUAAAAAUGUAUAGAAAAGUUAAUAAAUGAGUUCACUUUCAAAUCAAAGGUUUCUUGAUGUGAUUUCUACAUAAUUUUCUGAAUUUUCCAAAUGAGGUAGAUCUGAAAUCCCCAGGGCAAUUUCUGUUCAUGGAUAAGCCGGAUAAGCCUGGACUUCCCAAGUGAUGUCACAGUGAGACUUGAGCUUCAAUAAUCAAGAACUUCAAGACCAAACCAGCAUUUCAAGAGAUUAUCAAGAAAAUAAAUGUGAGAAGAGCUUGGGCCCUCUGAAGUGUGGAGCCCAGGGCAGGGACCAGCCUUGCCUGAGUCUGAAAGAAAAUAUUGACUGGGUCAUUUGGAUUUUUCUUCUUACGAUUUUGGAAUUUAGAACUAAGGUUGUUGGGAGCUGAGCCAUGUUCAUAGCAGAGGAAUGGAACUUCCCUUUGUGGAAGUUCCUGGAUCUUCCAGAGCCUGGGGAGUUUUCCUCUUCCUUGGAUUCCAGGAGAUAUGAGAGGAGGAAGCUGUGCUGUGAAGGAUCCUUUUUCAUCAUGAUUAUUGCAUCUACAGGAGCAGUGAUAAAUUCUAAUAGAUAAUGCAACUCAGUCUACUUGGAUGUUCACCCCUGAGACUGGAGAAGACCUGCUGCCUUCUGCAGAGCCAAACAUUCCUCACAUGCUCCUUCACAAUGCUGCAAGCCAUAUUUAUUCAUUUAAAAGCUAGUUCCUCGCUGUUUCUUGUACAUUAAUUCUUUUAAAACUUUUACAAAACAAACUAAAUUUAAAGAGGAAAUUAUUUACUGUAGAACUAAUGGCCUGAAAAUAGUUGUCCAACAUAGCAUUGCACAUAGCAACAGGAAGUAGUUUAUGUACGAGGAAGUCUCUUUCAAACGUGCUUGGAUAUUGACAAAAUUCUCUGCCUUAUAAACGAAGGAGUUCUUUUUUAUAUAUUUUAGAGCCAAUGCAGCAAGAAUAGUCUUAUAUAGACUAUAAGCUCCUGGAACACUGUGUCUACAUUGCUCACUGCAGUGUCCCAACAUCUAAGACCAUGGUCUUAGAUGUCUGGUAUAGGACUGGUGCUCAGUAUGCACUGAAUGAAUAAAUGAAUGAAUAUAGCAAAGCAUUCCAUGAUGUUCUCUUGAAUUCAUUUAUUCUUUGAAAUUUGUUUCUUUGUUUGUUUGUUUUGGUGCAGUGGUUAUGUACUACUAGGAGUAUGAUAUGUGUUCUUCAAUAAAUCUCUUCAAAUUAUAAUAAAGAUUUAGUGCUAACCUUCUGCUCACUA